rnacentral:rRNA from 1 species
AACGAACGCUGGCGGCGUGGAUAAGACAUGCAAGUCGAACGGGAUUUUAUUUUUAGCAAUACACGUAAAGUCUAGUGGCGUAAGGGUGCGUAACACGUGGGCAAUCUGCCGAGAAGUGGGGGAUAGCUCGCCGGAAGGCGAAUUAAUACCGCAUGUGGUUAGUGAAGACAUCUUCGCGAUACCAAAGCCGGGGCAACCUGGCGCUUCUUGAUGAGCCCGCGGCCUAUCAGCUAGUUGGUGAGGUAACGGCUAACCAAGGCUAUGAUGGGUAGCUUGUCUGAGAGGACUACCGGCCACACUGGAACUGAGACACGGUCCAGACACUUACGGGUGGCAGCAGUCGAGAAUUGUUCUCAAUGGGGGAAACCCUGAAGGAGCGACGCCGCGUGGAGGAUGAAGGUCUUCGGAUUGUAAACUCCUGUCAUUUGGGAACAAUUGUUGGCGAUUAACUGUCGUCAGCUUGAUAGUACCAGAAGAGGAAGAGACGGCUAACUCUGUGCCAGCCGCCGCCGUAACAC